UCCUACGGGAGGCAGCAGNGGGGAAUAUUGCACAAUGGGGGAAACCCUGAUGCAGCCAUGCCGCGUGUGUGAAGAAGGCCUUCGGGUUGUAAAGCACUUUCAGUUGUGAGGAAAGGUUAGUAGUUAAUACCUGCUAGCUGUGACGUUAACAACAGAAGAAGCACCGGCUAACUCCGUGCCAGCAGCCGCGGUAAU
rnacentral:rRNA from 1 species